rnacentral:rRNA from 1 species
CAGUGUGCUGCACUUCCUGACGAGCGGCGGACGGGUGCGUAACACGUAGGAAUCUGCCCGGUAGUGGGGGAUAGCCCGGAGAAAUUCGGAUUAAUACCGCAUACGCCCUAAGGGGGAAAGCAGGGGAUCUUCGGACCUUGCGCUAUCGGAUGAGCCUGCGUCGGAUUAGCUAGUUGGUGGGGUAAAGGCCCACCAAGGCGACGAUCCGUAGCUGGUCUGAGAGGAUGAUCAGCCACACUGGGACUGAGACACGGCCCAGACUCCUACGGGAGGCAGCAGUGGGGAAUAUUGCACAAUGGGCGAAAGCCUGAUGCAGCCAUGCCGCGUGUGUGAAGAAGGCCCUAGGGUUGUAAAGCACUUUCAGUGGGGAGGAAAGGUUGAAGGUUAAUACCCUUCAGCUGUGACGUUACCCACAGAAGAAGCACCGGCUAACUCCGUGCCAGCAGCCGCGGUAAUACGGAGGGUGCGAGCGUUAAUCGGAAUUACUGGGCGUAAAGCGUGCGUAGGCGGCUUUUUAAGUUGGAUGUGAAAGCCCCGGGCUUAACCUGGGAACUGCAUCCAAAACUGGAAGGCUUGAGUGCGAGAGAGGAGUGUGGAAUUUCCUGUGUAGCGGUGAAAU